CAUUUCGAGUAACCAAAAAUCCGCAUGAUAGAACCGGUGGAUACUACCAGCCUAAGUAGGAAGUAAAUACCCAUGCAAUAUACCGAAGAACACAAUAUACCAAUAAACACCCAAUAUACAGAAGAACCACUUUAGGCUAAAAACUAUAGAAAGAAUGUUCAGUAAGGGCAUAAGGACAGAUAUAAAUCCAUAACUACUUAUUUUUAAUACUUGCAAAUGCAGAAACAUGAGCUGUUGUUUGGUAAUGAACGAGAACAUGUUUAAUCAAAUUCGGAGGUUUUUAUAGUUCAGUAUUAGUUCAGUAUAGCAAUUAUUAGUUCAGUAUUGUCAACAAGGUUGCGAUAAUAAUGUACGCAUACUGGUAUUUCUCUGUUUCCGAGCAAUUAAGUACGCGGUAUAUUCAGAAUAUUCAGGUAAAAUAAAGUUAAAAUUUUGACAUAUUUAGAUAAGAAAGUCGUUAUUAAAUCACUUGAAAGAAUCUGAUCAUGCAUCAAACAUCCACACAACAAAAUUAGUGUGUACCAUAUAUGGUCAAUUUGGACGCAAUUCAUUUCCAAAUUCCCUUCAGAAAACGCCAGUUAUGCGGUAUUUUAUGCAGUCCCUGGGCUUCAAAGAUGCAAAAUCUUUCAGUGGGAAGACCGUCAGACGACCCUUUUCUUCAAUUAGAAUUUUUUAACAUCGAAGCCCGCCAACUUCCUC